rnacentral:lncRNA from 1 species
CUUUGCCCGCCCUAGACAUAAGUUUCUUUGACCCGUUCCCAGGUAUGGGCUAAUGAGGGAGUGUUGGCACGCAGCUCCUUCUCAGAGGCCGACUUUUAAGCAGCUGGUGGAAGCUCUGGACAAGGUCCUGCUGGCUGUCUCUGAAGAGUACCUUGACCUCCGCCUGACCUUUGGACCCUAUUCCCCCAACAAUGGGGAUGCCAGCAGCACGUGCUCCUCCAGCGACUCGGUUUUCAGCCACGACCCUUUGCCCCUCGAGCCAAGCCCCUUCCCAUUUCCUGAGGCGCAGACCACAUGAGCCUGGGAACGAUGUUGCAUGGGCUCGUAGGCCCGUGGCCGUGGGACUCCAACCUGUUUCAUCAGCAUUUGACGUUGGCACUGUCAUCAGGCCUCUGA